rnacentral:rRNA from 1 species
GACGAACGCUGGCGGCGUGCUUAACACAUGCAAGUCGAACGGUGAAGCCCUUCGGGGUGGAUCAGUGGCGAACGGGUGAGUAACACGUGGGAAAUCUGCCCUGCACUCUGGGACAAGCCUUGGAAACGAGGUCUAAUACCGGAUAUGACCUGCUCCUGCAUGGGGGUGGGUGGAAAGCUCCGGCGGUGCAGGAUGAUCCCGCGGCCUAUCAGCUUGUUGGUGGGGUAACGGCCCACCAAGGCGACGACGGGUAGCCGGCCUGAGAGGGCGACCGGCCACACUGGGACUGAGACACGGCCCAGACUCCUACGGGAGGCAGCAGUGGGGAAUAUUGCACAAUGGGCGAAAGCCUGAUGCAGCGACGCCGCGUGAGGGAUGACGGCCUUCGGGUUGUAAACCUCUUUCAGCAGGGAAGAAGCGCAAGUGACGGUACCUGCAGAAGAAGCACCGGCUAACUACGUGCCAGCAGCCGCGGUAACAC